AAUCGCUUUAUCGUUAUGUUAUAUAUAUAUAUAUGUGUGUACGUGUGCAUAUUUUUACUUUAAAAGGUUUUUAUCCUUCACGUUAAAUCCUCAUGGAAAUGUAUGAACUAGCCUUAGGUCAGAAAUACAUGGUAUAGUUUGGUUACUGUUUGUCUACUGUAUGGCUUUGUAAUGUUUAGUCAGAAUUAGAUAAUUUCAUACAAAACUUAAUCUAAGGGGAUAUUUUUUCAAGUGUCUGUGACGUGCCGGAUCCAACCAACUAGCAAUAAUUUAAAAUUUAGCAUUUUCGCGCUUUUUUCCCUCAGGUGGGGACUUUCAUGGUGGAAUACUUGCAAAAUGCAGAGAACAGUGAUGUAUUCUGCACAUUUUGUGCCUUUGGGACGAGGCAGCAACGACAUCCCAGACCUUCGCCAUUGUUUCCGGACAUGCCAUUGAGAAAGACUUGUUGCUAAGUUGAUCUGUUUCAAGUCCUUUUCUGUGCUUGAUGUUAACUAAGCAGUCUCUUCCUACUUAGAAAUUUCUCCGGCAUGCAGUUUAUCAUAUUGAUGGACAUGAGUGAAGAGGGAAGUUUUUGAGGACAACAGUUUUUUCUGGACACUUGUAACAUGCUUUAAGUUGUCACAUGUAUUGUCUGUUGUUUGGCAUAGUUUUAAUGGCACACUGUUUGGACUGAUUCUCAUGUGCCAAUAAUAUAUUUUUGAGUGUUCUAAUGCUGCAAUGUUGACAUAUAGAAUAGGAAUCUACAGUGCCUAAUUCACCCAGUUUUGUGUUUUUAAAGAAACUGAUCUACAAAAACUUGUUUUUAUGUGUCUGUAGGUGUUGGAUGAAAUGUAUGACAAUUGCACCCAUUCAAUAAAUGUAAAGAAAUAAAUUUAAUAAAAAUGCAUAUUUACAAUUG